UACGUAGGGUCCGAGCGUUGUCCGGAAUUAUUGGGCGUAAAGGGCUCGUAGGCGGUUCGUCACGUCGGGAGUGAAAACUCGGAGCUUAACUCCGGGCCUGCUUCCGAUACGGGCAGACUAGAGGUAGGCAGGGGAGAGCGGAACUCCUGGUGUAGCGGUGGAAUGCGCAGAUAUCAGGAAGAACACCGGUGGCGAAGGCGGCUCUCUGGGACGGUACUGACGCUGAGACGCGAAAGCGUGGGGAGCGAACAGG
rnacentral:rRNA from 1 species